rnacentral:rRNA from 1 species
UUUAGGUAGCGCCUCGUGAAUUCAUCUCCGGGGGUAGAGCACUGUUUCGGCUAGGGGGCCAUCCCGGCUUACCAACCCGAUGCAAACUGCGAAUACCGGAGAAUGUUAUCACGGGAGACACACGGCGGGUGCUAACGUCCGUCGUGAAGAGGGAAACAACCCAGACCGCCAGCUAAGGUCCCAAAGUCAUGGUUAAGUGGGAAACGAUGUGGGAAGGCCCAGACAGCCAGGAUGUUGGCUUAGAAGCAGCCAUCAUUUAAAGAAAGCGUAAUAGCUCACUGGUCGAGUCGGCCUGCGCGGAAGAUGUAACGGGGCUAAACCAUG